AAGCAAGCAGCUCCAGCUUCUCCAGGCUGCUGUCUGGCCGUUAGAGCCAGCCAGUCACCUAGCUGCUUUUAUACUGCAUACCUGUGUCUGAGUACUCAUUUCAUCCAUUGGCCAAGGCCUGUGGGACAGACCUGGCAAGAGCCCAGCCAAGAUGAACCAACUUGCCUACACAACCACCCCCACACUUGGGCUGAGAUAUCCGGCUGAUCCGAACUCCAACAUGAAGCAUCCUUUCUGCUUUAGAUUGACCCCCAAAGAGUGAAGGCACUACUUCUUCCUGCUGCCAUGUGAAGAAAGACCUGUUUGCUUCCCCUUUCAUCAUGAUUGUAAGUUUCCUGAGGCC
rnacentral:lncRNA from 1 species